AUGAACGCUGGCGGCGUGCCUAAUCCAUGCAAGUCGAGCGAACGGACGAGAAGCUUGCUUCUCUGAUGUUAGCGGCGGACGGGUGAGUAACACGUGGAUAACCUACCUAUAAGACUGGGAUAACUUCGGGAAACCGGAGCUAAUACCGGAUAAUAUUUUGAACCGCAUGGUUCAAAAGUGAAAGACGGCCUUGCUGUCACUUAUAGAUGGAUCCGCGCUGCAUUAGCUAGUUGGUAAGGUAACGGCUUACCAAGGCAACGAUGCAUAGCCGACCUGAGAGGGUGAUCGGCCACACUGGAACUGAGACACGGUCCAGACUCCUACGGGAGGCAGCAGUAGGGAAUCUUCCGCAAUGGGCGAAAGCCUGACGGAGCAACGCCGCGUGAGUGAUGAAGGUCUUCGGAUCGUAAAACUCUGUUAUUAGGGAAGAACAUAUGUGUAAGUAACUGUGCACAUCUUGACGGUACCUAAUCAGAAAGCCACGGCUAACUACGUG
rnacentral:rRNA from 1 species